AUUUAGAGGAAGUAAAAGUCGUAACAAGGUUUCCGUAGGUGAACCUGCGGAAGGAUCAUUACCUAGAGUUGUGGGCUUUGCCUGCUAUCUCUUACCCAUGUCUUUUGAGUACUUACGUUUCCUCGGCGGGUUCGCCCGCCGAUUGGACAAUUUAAACCCUUUGCAGUUGCAAUCAGCGUCUGAAAAAACAUAAUAGUUACAACUUUCAACAACGGAUCUCUUGGUUCUGGCAUCGAUGAAGAACGCAGCGAAAUGCGAUAAGUAGUGUGAAUUGCAGAAUUCAGUGAAUCAUCGAAUCUUUGAACGCACAUUGCGCCCCUUGGUAUUCCAUGGGGCAUGCCUGUUCGAGCGUCAUUUGUACCUUCAAGCCUUGCUUGGUGUUGGGUGUUUGUCUCGCCUCCGCGUGUAGACUCGCCUCAAAACAAUUGGCAGCCGGCGUAUUGAUUUCGGAGCGCAGUACAUCUCGCGCUUUGCACUCAUAACGACGACGUCCAAAAGUACAUUUUUACACUCUUGACCUCGGAUCAGGUAGGGAUACCCGCUGAACUUAAGCAUAUCAAUAAGCGGAGGAAAAGAAACCAACAGGGAUUGCCCUAGUAACGGCGAGUGAAGCGGCAACAGCUCAAAUUUGAAAUCUGGCGUCUUUGGCGUCCGAGUUGUAAUUUGCAGAGGGCGCUUUGGCAUUGGCAGCGGUCCAAGUUCCUUGGAACAGGACGUCACAGAGGGUGAGAAUCCCGUACGUGGUCGCUAGCCUUUACCGUGUAAAGCCCCUUCGACGAGUCGAGUUGUUUGGGAAUGCAGCUCUAAAUGGGAGGUAAAUUUCUUCUAAAGCUAAAUACUGGCCAGAGACCGAUAGCGCACAAGUAGAGUGAUCGAAAGAUGAAAAGCACUUUGGAAAGAGAGUUAAAAAGCACGUGAAAUUGUUGAAAGGGAAGCGCUUGCAGCCAGACUUGCCUGUAGUUGCUCAUCCGGGUUUUUACCCGGUGCACUCUUCUAUAGGCAGGCCAGCAUCAGUUUGGGCGGUUGGAUAAAGGUCUCUGUCAUGUACCUCUCUUCGGGGAGAACUUAUAGGGGAGACGACAUGCAACCAGCCUGGACUGAGGUCCGCGCAUCUGCUAGGAUGCUGGCGUAAUGGCUGUAAGCGGCCCGUCUUGAAA
rnacentral:rRNA from 1 species